rnacentral:rRNA from 1 species
UACGUAGGGUGCAAGCGUUGUCCGGAAUUAUUGGGCGUAAAGAGCUCGUAGGCGGUUUGUUGAGUCUGCUGUGAAAACCCGAGGCUCAACCUUGGGCCUGCAGUGGGUACGGGCAGACUAGAGUGCGGUAGGGGAGAUUGGAAUUCCUGGUGUAGCGGUGGAAUGCGCAGAUAUCAGGAGGAACACCAAUGGCGAAGGCAGAUCUCUGGGCCGUAACUGACGCUGAGGAGCGAAAGCAUGGGGAGCGAACAGG